GACGAGCGCUGGCGGCGUGCCUAAUACAUGCAAGUUGAGCGAUGAAGAUUUGUGCUUGCACCGUUUUGAAGAGCAGCACACGGGUGUGUAACGCGUGUGGAAUCUGCCUUUGAUCGGGGUACAACAUUGGGAAACGAAUGCUUAUACCACAGAACAACUUUAAACAUAAUGUGUAAGGGUGAAAUAUGCAAUUUCAUCACUCAAAGGUGAUCCCUCGUUGUAUUAGAUAGUUGGUGAGGUAAAGGCGCACCAAGGGGAUGAUACAUAGCCGACCUGACAGGCUGAUAGGCCACAUUGGGACUGAGACACGGCCCAAGCUACUAAGGGAGGCCGCAGUAGGGAAUCUUUGGCAAUGGACGAAAGUCUGACCGAGCAACGGCGCGCGAGUGAAGACGGUUUUCGGAUCGUAAAACUCUGUUGGUAGAGAAGAACGUUGGUGAGCGUGGAAAGAGCAUCAAGUGACGGUAACUAUACAGAAAGGGACGGCUAAUUACGU
rnacentral:rRNA from 1 species